rfam:Gossypium arboreum cultivar AKA8401 contig_4501_3, whole genome shotgun sequence.
UGUUAAAAAUUUCAUCCAUUUCUACUAUUAGAAACUGGCGUGGCUGACAAAAUAACCAGAUAAUUACAUGUGCCAUGCCACAUGUACCUCAUUCUGACAUACAGGGACCAAGUUUUAACAGUACAAAUGGAUGAAAUUUUUAACA